AUGCAUCUUCAUAAUCACAGGCCGAGUGUACAGGACUCCAUGUCGUCGGAGAGCAGCGACUCCACUGCCAGCACAGAAACGGAUGAACAGGCUUCCUCUGCUGCCCCUCAGCUGAUUGAUGAAAAGUUUUACGCCUCAGAAAGUGACAUCAUAGUAAGAGCGCCCGCAGACUUCGGACGGCCCAACGAGAACAGCCACAGCUCUGUUACCGUCAGCCUACAGGACGAGAACACCAACGUCUCGAUGGACGCUCUAACCUUCGUCUUCACCACACAGAGCGAGGACAGCCAGAGCAGUGAAAGCAGUGGACUCGGCGAUGAAGGAAUGCAGGCUGAUGAGCCCACAAUGACUCGACUCGAUGUAACUGAUGAGAAAAACAGCAGAUCAGAGAUUGUUGGUCGAGAGAAUAAAAUGGGUUUUGACAGCAGUGAAUAUUCACCAGACACCUCUGCGAAUGAAGAUAAAACCAACACAGCUUCAGUAAUUUAUCCUCCAGACCAUCAAACGACAGAUUUUAACAGCAUUGAAGCUCUACAGAAGGCAAUGGAUGAGCUCAGCGAUGAUAUCCAGGCUGAUGAUGCUUUUAUAGCUUUGCCACAUUAUGGUAAAGCUCAUGAGGAAAGGUCCAGUGUUGCCUCAAAUGGUGAGGCAAAGCAAGCCGGUGAAAGCAGCAUGAGUCCUAAACCCUCGUACACUGCUGACCAUAGGUUUGACUUGAGUUCUGAGAUAACAUACCCAGACAAUUCAACAGUCCUUGACUCUACUGAGUCAAACUCCAGCUUAGAAGACACAGAUGCCUCAAACUCGACUGAUUCCGGAUCGGAUAACCACUAUAGUAGCCCUACAGAGAACCAGACUCCAAGCAAAUCCCUUGAUGAUCCUCAAUCAGACAGUGUAGAACUUUCCACCAUACUCACUACUGCCCUUCACUCUCUCUUAGGAGACCUUAUUGGUCCGAGAUCUAUUCCUGCUCCUCUAAACCUACUGUCUCUGACCAGCAGGGAGGACCGAGCUUCAAGGGAAGCAAGGGGCAAAGGAGCCAACCUGGGAUCAGAUUCCAUAGAUAAUCAGGACCUUCACUCACAUUCAAGCCCCACUUCAGGUUCUUGGACGUUCCAGACAGUCUCACCAAUCAGCUCCAGCUCUGAAGAGGAAGAAGAUGAUGGGGAUAAAGCCUUUGUCACUGAUGCAACACCUAGCCGUACUGCAAGUCCAGUGCCUAGUCCAGAGCUCUUCUCAGGUCCGAUAUAUGUCAAUGAUGGCUGGCCAGCUUCUGACUACUCCUACUCUUUGAACAAUUUUAGGCACCACUAUGCGGAAUACGAAGAAUGGGAUCAUACAGACAAUUCCAUCAAAUCAAACCACCCUGGAGCACCAACAGACACAAAUACAUACCCCAAAACUGACGAACAAGAUCUGGAACAGGGUCCAACAGAGGAAAGCAGUCCAGCAUAUUCAGAGGAGGCAACAGAGAAUGAGGACCUUCCUACAGAAGUCUCAAAAAGUGAGGACAACUCACAAGAUGAAGAACAACUUGAGAUGGCAUCUGGUUCUCCAGCAUCCAGGGAAGAUGUUAACUCUAGUUCCAGCGAGACCAGCAGAGAAACAGCCUUGCAGAUUCCCAAAGCUCCAGAAGCAUCUCCCACUGGUGCUGGACCUACUUUGUCCAAUAGUCAGGAGAGCAUAGAGACCAUGGAAGAUGUUGGUAGUGAAACAGGAGCCGUAACAAUGAGUUCCAGUAGUGAGGAAAGUGUUGAAAUGGACUCUCUUGAUGACCAGAGUUCAGCACCAGUGCGCUCCAACAGUAAAGACAGCCAGAACCAGACAGACUGGCAGUUAGCCCACACAGAUGCUCAGCUUGUGGUGCAGGUUACUCCUGACAUUCAGGCAGCUUCUGCUGCUGAAGGACAAGGCAAACCUGUAGAUCUUACACCUGGAUCGAGCUCAGAGGAAGAGUUGGAUCCCAUUUCAACAGGUAUGAUAUUCAGCCAUGCACCCAUGUCCAGUGAAGAGCAGGUGUUUCGAGCAAACAUAGACAAUAGAACUGAAAUAAUCUCAACGUCCAAUGAAGAAGAGGCUAAUGUUAGGUUGAACCUUGCUGUCCCAGGCAACUCCAGCUCAGAAGACAGUCCAAAUGAAGAAUCACUGUCAGCUGAAUCCACCACUGACAGCCCAGGAACCAGUGUGGAGUCGACUCCUGAAUUGACUCUUAGCCAUGAAUCACUGGACGUCACCACAGAGCACCCAACGGUCAUCUCAGAAUCAGUUUCCGUAAGUGUUUCCCAUGUUGGCGAUGAGGACCUGUCCAGUGAGAUUCCAAGUCCAAGUGCAGACAGUGAAGAGUCCCCGGAAUCGCAAGGCCUUACCUCGUCCACAGUUCCUCCUGUCGCUAGAAACCCCAGCCGAGCCCUACAAACUGAAAAGAGCAGUGAAGAAGAUGACAUACAGGACAUGAGGUCAGACCAGGUGAUGACCCGUCGUUUCCAUAGUAACCCCAGGCCUACAGCCAUGCCUCAGGAAACAGCAGCCAAUCCCUGGACGGCGUUUCUUCAAGCCCUGAGAGCACACGUGACCAAUCAAAGCGUGCAACAUGCUGACCACAAAGGCCAGAGAUCAUGGAGUAACUAUGGUCACCAUAGCAACAGAGGAAAGAAAGCAAGCAGCAGUGAGGAAAGCAAAUGA
ensembl:lncRNA